CCUAUCAACUUUCGAUGUUACUUUCUCUGCCUACCAUGGUGACCACGGGUAACGGGGAAUCAGGGUUCGAUUCUG
rnacentral:rRNA from 1 species